AGUGAACGCUGGCGGUAGGCCUAACACAUGCAAGUCGAACGGCAGCACUGUAAGAGCUUGCUCUUACGGGUGGCGAGUGGCGGACGGGUGAGGAAUACAUCGGAAUCUACUUUUUCGUGGGGGAUAACGUAGGGAAACUUACGCUAAUACCGCAUACGACCUACGGGUGAAAGCAGGGGAUCUUCGGACCUUGCGCGAUUGAAUGAGCCGAUGUCGGAUUAGCUAGUUGGCGGGGUAAAGGCCCACCAAGGCGACGGUCCGUAGCUGGUCUGAGAGGAUGAUCAGCCACAAUGGAAAUGAGAAACGGUCCAGACUCCUACGGGAGGGAGCAGUGGGGAAUAUUGGAGCAUGGGCGCAAGCCUGAUCCAGGCAUACCGCGUGGGUGAAGAAGGCCUUCGGGUUGUAAAGCCCUUUUGUUGGGAAAGAAAAGCAGCAGGUUAAUACCCCGCUGUUCUGACGGUACCCAAAGAAUAAGCACCGGCUAACUUCGUG
rnacentral:rRNA from 1 species